rnacentral:rRNA from 1 species
UGGGGAAUUGUUCGCAAUGGGCGCAAGCCUGACGACGCAACGCCGCGUGGAGGAUGAAGGUCUUCGGAUUGUAAACUCCUGUUGCCCGGGACGAACCGCUCCGACCUAACACGUCGGAGUCUGACGGUACCGGGUGAGGAAGCCCCGGCUACCUCUGUGCCAGCAGCCGCGGUAAUACAGAGGGGGCGAGCGUUGUUCGGAAUUACUGGGCGUAAAGGGCGCGUAGGUGGCCUGUUAAGUCGAACGUGAAAUCCCCGGGCUCAACCCGGGAACUGCGUCCGAGACUGGCAGACUCGAAUCCGGGAGAGGGAUGUGGAAUUCCAGGUGUAGCGGUGAAAUGCGUAGAUAUCUGGAGGAACACCGGUGGCGAAGGCGGCAUCCUGGACCGGUAUUGACGCUGAGGCGCGAAAGCCAGGGGAGCAA